CAAGGCUGAGUUGUUGUAGGCCGCAAGGCUGAGUUGUUGUAGGCCGAAAGGCUGAGUUGUUGUAGGAGAUCUCCGAGUUGAUAUGCGUGACGACGCAUUGCAUUCUUAUUGACGAUAAUGUUGAAAACUGAUGGAAUAGCAGGGAUAGAAGGUGGAUAGCGAUGAGUCGGCAGCUGAUAGAUGGAGCUGACAUCUAUGGAUGUUUUGUUUGUUUUAGUCACUAGGCAUAGUGACUUCUGAUGUAAUUCUUGUUUUACAUACCCUAACUCUAGUCGGAUUCGGGACAUAUGUAUAUACUUAUAUUCUAGACUCUA